GAGGGUGACACCACAUGCAGGGGGGGCACUCGAAAGCGAAAUAAAAGUUGAAGUAAUGAUCGAAAGCCAAUCGAUGGCUAUAAAACAAACAACUAGACGCGGCGCUUUGUACGCGAGAAAAACGAGUUGAAUGGCGGGCGGUAGUUGACUUUGACCCCGGAUUGGUGAAUCCUCACUGGCGUUUUGGGAAAGAAAAACAAAAUGUCAGCUGAUUCGAUUAUGGGGGAGUGGAAAGCGAGGGACAACAGGGAGGGGACUUGAUCUUGGGUGAGUCCACCGUGUUUAUGAAUCGAGAGACAAAAAUAUACAGACGAGGAGAAAAAGAGAGGAGGAGGACGAGGUCAGGCUGGAUGAAAGCAGUCAAGUCAGGGAGGUCACUGACUUUCCUUCCUUUUGCGCUACAAGUUGGUUGUUCCUGCCUGAGAAAUGAGGGUGUGGCUUGUGGGGUCGGGGUGGCCAGGAGUGCGCUCUGAUUGGCAGUUAGACAUGGCCUGGUUGACCAAUUAGAGGGGCUCGUCGGCAUAGUGUGUUCCUUCUGGAUCUUUAAAUUACUAUACGCAAUAUACACACUAUAUAUCCAGACUGUCAUUGUGACGAUC
rnacentral:lncRNA from 1 species